rnacentral:rRNA from 1 species
AGCGAACGUUAGCGGCGGGCUUAACACAUGCAAGUCGAGCGAGAAAGCACCUUCGGGUGUGAGUAGAGCGGCGAACGGGUGAGUAACACGUGGGUAACCUGCCCUUCAGCGGGGGACAACCACUCGAAAGGGUGGCUAAUACCGCAUACGUCGGUUCUGUCUGCGGACGGAACCGGGAAAGCUAGCAUCUUCGGGGUGCCGGCACUGAAGGAGGGGCCCGCGUCGCAUCACGCUUGAUGGUGAGGUAAUGGCUCACCAUGGCUAAGACGCGUAGCUGGUCUGAGAGGAUGAUCAGCCACACUGGGACUGAGACACGGCCCAG